UAGCGGGUGGGGCAGACCCUGGGCUAGCAGGCCUCAGGGAGAACUCCAAUGGUGUCUGUGUCAGCACGCCCACACCAGACCACAACGAUGGCCGCAGCCAAUGUCCCAGUCCCUGGAGAGGUCUCACCCCUCACCGAGAUGCACUCAGGGCCUAUUAGAUUCCUAAAGAAAGAGCUGGCGCCAUGAGACUAAAAACGUCGCUUAUGGAACAAUUUCAGGGCUACCACACUUUCACGUACAGACUUCUCAUUGUGACUCCAGGCCUCUCCAGUUUAUGAAGAUGUUGCUCAAGUUUCUUGCUGUAACCCAAGACAUUUUUUCCUCCAAAAAGUUUCCACUGCCCACCAUAAUUCUAUGGGAGGAAAUCUUUUUCACCUAUUAACCAACAAAUGUUCCUCAACUUAAAAGAAUCUGUCAGUGUCCCAUAACUGUAUCCCAGGUGCCUACCAUCAUGCCUUGCAUAGAAGGGAUGCUCAAUAAAUAUUUGUUGAAUGAAUGAAUAAAAGAGAAUCCCCUAUAUCAACAGUU